rnacentral:rRNA from 1 species
CCUACGGGUGGCAGCAGUCGAGAAUCAUUCACAAUGGGGGAAACUCUGAUGGUGCGACGCCGCGUGGGGGAAUGAUGGUCUUCGGAUUGUAAACCCCUGUCAUGUGGGAGCAAAUUAAAAAGAUAGUACCACAAGAGGAAUAGACGGCUAAUUCUGUGCCAGAAGCCGCGGUAAUACAGAGGUCUCAAUCGUUGUUCGGAAUCACUGGUCGUAAAGCGUGCGGAGGCUGUUUCGUAAGUCGUGUGUGAAAGGUGCGGGCUCAACCCGCGGACGGCACAUGAUACUGCGAGACUAGAGUACAGGAGGGGGAAGCGGAAUUCGUGGUGUAGCAGUGAAAUGCGUAGAUAUCGAGAGGAACACUCGUGGCGAAGGCGGGUUCCUGGACAUUAACUGACGCUGAGGCACGAAGGCCAGGGGAGCGAAAGGGAUUAGAUACCCUAGUAGUC